rnacentral:rRNA from 1 species
AAUAGAUACCCGGGUAGUCCACGCCGUAAACGAUGAGUGCUAAGUGUUAGGGGGUUUCCGCCCCUUAGUGCUGCAGCUAACGCAUUAAGCACUCCGCCUGGGGAGUACGGUCGCAAGACUGAAACUCAAAGGAAUUGACGGGGGCCCGCACAAGCGGUGGAGCAUGUGGUUUAAUUCGAAGCAACGCGAAGAACCUUACCAGGUCUUGACAUCCCAUUGACCACUAUGGAGACAUAGUUUUCCCUUCGGGGACAACGGUGACAGGUGGUGCAUGGUUGUCGUCAGCUCGUGUCGUGAGAUGUUGGGUUAAGUCCCGCAACGAGCGCAACCCUUGUUCUUAGUUGCCAUCAUUUAGUUGGGCACUCUAAGGAGACUGCCGGUGACAAACCGGAGGAAGGUGGGGAUGACGUCAAAUCAUCAUGCCCCUUAUGACCUGGGCUACACACGUGCUACAAUGGACGGUACAAACGGUUGCCAACCCGCGAGAGGGAGCUAAUCCGAUAAAACCGUUCUCAGUUCGGAUUGUAGGCUGCAACUCGCCUACA